rnacentral:lncRNA from 1 species
CACUUAGAGUACUUAACAUAAAUUUUCAAUCAAUAAAAAACAAAAAACCUGAACUAGAAGUGAUCUUAGACUCUGUUAAGCCAAAUAUAAAAUUUGGAAGUGAAACUUGGCUAGAUAAAGAAACAUCCUCCUAUGAUUACUUUCCAAUAUCAGACUACAAUGUAUACAGAAAAGACCGUCCACCAAAUGAAAAAAAUCAAAGUCAUGGUGGUGUCCUAAUUACCAUAUCAAAAGACAUCAUAUCUGAUGAAAUCUCAGAGCUACAAACAAACUGAGAAUGUAUGGGCUGAAGUGAAUAUAGCCAACUCCAGAAAAUUAAUUCUUGGUUACUACUACAGACCACCUUCAGACACAGGUUCUUCACUUGAAGAACUUAAUGUAUCUCUAAGCCGUACAAAUGGAAACUCAAAAGCAACUAUAAUCUUAGGGGGGAUUUCAAACUUGGUCAUAUAGACUGGCAAAUACCAUCAGUAAUUCCUGAAAAACCAGAUAACAAACAACACCAAAUUUUAAUUGACAUAAUAAAUGACCACUCCCUGGAGCAAAUAGUAGACAAACCAACAAGAGGUGAAAGAAUACUCGAUCUAAUCUUAACAAAUGCACCAUAUAUAAAAAAUUAAACUGGAAUUAAUGCCACCUAUUGGUAAUGCAGAUCAUGACAUCGUAUUCACUGAAUGUACAAUAUCACUGAAAAGGAACAAAAAACCAGCAAGACAAAUCUAUCAAUUCAAAAAAGCAAACUGGGAAAACAUUAAAUUAUACAUACAAGUACUAGAAGAAAAGAUAAAAACUAUAUACAAUACAAGUAACACCAAUGAACUUUGGCAAACGUUCAAAGAAGACCUUAUAAAGACCAUCAGUACUAACAUACCACAAAAACAAAUAACACAUAAAAUGAAAUUGCCUUGGAUCACAGACCAACUAAGAAUCAAGAUUAAUAAAACAAAACGUCUGCAAAUUAGAUACAAACAUAUGAAAAAAAACAUUGCAGGCAGAAAUGCGCUCAGCUUAUUGGCAUUUUAUUGAAAACAUGAUCCUAGACCUCCCAAUUGAAGAACUUGGAAGCACCAACAAAAAGCACACACCAAAAAACCUGUUCUCAUAUAUCAAGAGCAUGAGAAAUGAUAAUUCAGGUGUAGCUACACUAAAAAAGUAUGGAUUGCUCGUAACAAACACCAAAGAUAAGGCAAACAUACUCAACCAGCAAUUUCAAAAAGGCAUUCACUACUGAAUCAUCCGCAGAUCCAAUACCAGUAAAAAACUUAUCAUCACAUCCACAAAUGAAUCAAAUUAAAAUAUCAGAAAAGGGCGUCAACAAACUACUUCACAACAUUAAUCCGAAUAAAGCCACAGGCCCUGAUGAACUAUGUGGAAAGGUAUUAAAGGAAAUGAAAUAUCAUCUUAGUCCUAUCAUCACACUCAUCUUUCAAAAAUCAAUUAACACUCAUAAAAUACCUACAGACUGGAAACAUGCAAAUGUCUGUCCUACAUUAAAAAAAGGCGGCAAAAACAAUGCCAUAAAUUACAGGCCAAUUUCACUAACAUGUAUACUUUGCAAAAUAAUGGAGCAUAUCAUAGCUAGUCAAGUAAUGGAACAUCUCGAAAAAAAAAAAAUCUUAUAUGAUUUACAACAUGGUUUCCGAUCAAAACUCUCUUGUGAGACACAAUUACUAUCUUUCAUCAAGACCUUGCAAGAGACAACAAUAUUAACAUACAAACUGAUGUCGUUGUGAUUGACUUUGCGAAAGCUUUUGACAAGGUCCCUCACAAAAGGUUACUUUACAAAUUAAAAUACUACGGCAUAGACAAUAAUACCUUGGAAUGGAUUGGUGACUUUUUACACCAUCGUACACAAACAG